rnacentral:rRNA from 1 species
GACGUAGGGCGCGAGCGUUUGUCCGGAUUUAUUGGGCGUAAAGAGCUCGUAGGCGGCUUGUCGCGUCGACUGUGAAAACCCGUGGCUCAACCAUGUGGUCUGCAGUCGAUACGGGCAGGCUAGAAUUCGGUAGGGGAGACUGGAAUUCCUGGUGUAGCGGUGAAAUGCGCAGAUAUCAGGAGGAACACCGGUGGCGAAGGCGGGUCUCUGGGCCGAUAUUGACGCUGAGGAGCGAAAGCGUGGGGAGCGAACAGG